rnacentral:rRNA from 1 species
GUUUACGGCCAUACCAGCCUGGGUACGCCCGAUCUCGUCUGAUCUCGGAAUCUAAGCAGGGUCGGGCCUGGUUAGUACUUGGAUGGGAGACCGCUUGGGAAUACCAGGUGCUGUAAGCU